rnacentral:rRNA from 1 species
AUUGAACGCUGGCGGCAGGCCUAACACAUGCAAGUCGAGCGAGUGGCGGACGGGUGAGUAAUGUCUGGGAAACUGCCCGAUGGCGGGGGAUAACUACUGGAAACGGUCGCUAAUACCGCAUACCAUCGGAUUUGCCCAGAUGGGAUUAGCUAGUGGUGGGGGUAACGGCUCACCUAGGCGACGAUCCCUAGCUGGUCUGAGAGGAUGACCAGCCACACGGGAACUGAGACACGGUCCCGACUCCGACGGGAGGCAGCAGUGGGGAAUAUUGCACAAGGGGCGCAAGCCUGAUGCAGCCAUGCCGCGUGUAUGAAGAAGGCCUUCGGGUUGUAAAGUACUUUCAGCGGGGAGGCGUUACCCGCAGAAGAAGCACCGGCUAACUCCGUGCCAACAGCCGCGGUAAUUC